GACGUAGGGUGCAAGCGUUGUCCGGAAUUAUUGGGCGUAAAGAGUUCGUAGGCGGUUACUUAAGUCUGGUGUUAAAGCCCGAUGCUCAACGUCGGCAUGGCAUUGGAAACUGGGUAGCUAGAGUGUGUCAGAGGUUACGGGAAUUCCUGGUGUAACGGUGAAAUGCGUAGAUAUCAGGAGGAACACCUGUGGCGAAAGCGCGUAACUGGGGCAUAACUGACGCUGAGGAACGAAAGCCAGGGUAUCCAAAGGG
rnacentral:rRNA from 1 species